rnacentral:rRNA from 1 species
GACGAACGCUGGCGGCGUGCUUAACACAUGCAAGUCGAACGCUGAAGCUCAGCUUGCUGGGUGGCUGAGUGGCGAACGGGUGAGUAACACGUGAGUAACCUGCCCUCUUCUUUGGGAUAACGCCCGGAAACGGGUGCUAAUACUGGAUAUUCACUGAUUCUCGCAUGGGGGUUGGUGGAAAGGUUUUUUCUGGUGGGGGAUGGGCUCGCGGCCUAUCAGCUUGUUGGUGGGGUGAUGGCCUACCAAGGCUUUGACGGGUAGCCGGCCUGAGAGGGUGACCGGUCACAUUGGGACGGAGAUACGGCCCAGACUCCUACGGGAGGCAGCAGUGGGGAAUAUUGCACAAUGGGCGAAAGCCGGAUGCAGCGACGCCGCGUGAGGGAUGGAGGCCUUCGGGUUGUAAACCUCUUUCGCUCAUGGUCAAGCCGCAGCUUUGGGUUGUGGUGAGGGUAGUGGGUAAAGAAGCGCCGGCUAACUACGUG